UCCCUGUGAGGGGCAGAGGCACUUGGGACAGAGGCUCCAUUAAGCGAGCACGAAGCCACGCAUGGCAGAGGUGGCCUCGCUCCUUCUUCUAGGGUCCGCUGCGUGGUCGCCCUGCCAGCAGUCCAGGGGUCCCACCAGUCCAGGGGUCCCCAUUCUUCCCGCUCCCAGCCCCUCCUGAGGGGGCCCUCACGGGCAGGGGAACAGGGAAGCGGUGGACUCACCAGGCCCCGCCCACCCCCACAGGACGCCCAGCAGCACCUGCAGUCUUCCGGAACCUUCCACGCCGCCUGCCCGUGACCCCUCCCCCCAAGACCUUCUGGAACCUUCUUUAACGGUCACCCCAUGAAGCGCCCGGACAUUCUGGAACCUUCGGAGCUGAACGUUGCGGGCGCGCAUGGGCGGGCGGGGCUCAGGCGGGGGUGAGCGCCAGGAGGACGCUCAGGGCCUGAGCGCAGUUCCCACAGCAGGAGCGGGUCCUCAGCUGUCUCCCGUGGGCCUUCGCGCUGCUUCUAGAAGGGCCAGGCACCACUGGAAAUGACCCUCCUCCUUGCUUUGCUCCUGGCCAUGGGCCUGCCACAGGUGGAGACAAACGUCACCGGGUCUGGAAGACAAGACGUACUGAGAUGUCACGUUUGCGAGAGAGAGAAUAAUUUCAACUGCGCUGGUCCUACGAACUGUAGCGACAGAGAGACGUAUUGUUCUUUUGCUGUUGUGAGAAUAUUUCCACGUUUCUUCUAUGUUUCAAAGCAAUGUGCAGAGUAUUGUUCAAUAAAGCCUCCAUACCUGGAGAAGUCGUUUGUAAUCAUAAAGCCUAUGCCCUUCUUAUACGUGAUGUGCUGUCAGACGUCGUUAUGCAACGAUGCUGAACCAGACAUCAGAGACGAAGAAGAUAACACCAAGAAAAAACCUAAAAAAGCAAGCGCCGUGAGGAGCA